rnacentral:tRNA from 2 species
UGCCUCAGUAGCUUAGCUGGAUAAAGCGCCUCCCUCCUAAGGAGGAGACCGCAGGUUCGAAUCCUGUCUGGGGUAUCC